rnacentral:rRNA from 1 species
GAUGAACGCGGGCGGCGUGCCUUAUACAUGCAAGUCGAGCGAACGGACGAGAAGCUUUCUUCUCUGAUGUUAGCGGCGGACGGGUGAGUAACACGUGGAUAACCUACCUAUAAGACUUUGAUAACUUCGGGAAACCGUAGCUAAAACCGUAUAAUAUUUUGAACCGCAUGGUUAAAAAGGGAAAGACGUUCUUGCUGUCACUUAUAGAUUGAUCCGCGCUGCAUUAGCUAGUUGGUAAGGUAACGGCUUACCAAGGCAACGAUGCAGAGCCGACCUGAGAGGGUGAUUGGCCCCACUGCAACUGAGACAACGUCCAGAAUCCUAAGGGAGGCAGCAGUAGGGAACCUUCCGCAAUGGGCGAACGCCUGACGGAGCAACGACGCGCGAGUGAUGAAGGUCUUCGUAUCGUAACACUCUGUUAUUAGGGAAGAACAUCUGUGUAAGUCACUGUGAACAUCUUGACGGCACCUCAUCAGACCGCCACGGCUAACUACGUG